CGCUUUUGUGUUUUUUGUUUUUAUAUAUUUUUAUUAUUUAUUUGAAGUCUCUUUCCUUUUCAGUUUCCCUGAUUUGUUUAUGUGUGUGCGUUUAUAAUUUAAUUGAAUAAAAAAAAGAAGGAUUUAAAAAAAGAAAAUAAAAAUUCCUUAGAAUUCUCCGUUCAAUGUUCGAUCUUCUCGUGUCAGAAGGAGGAGUUGUUUCCCAUCCCUUUGAAGUUUCUCUUUCUAUCUCUAGCAAAAUAAGAUUUUAGGAUAUUUUUUGGGUGCUACGUCGUUUGGUUAGCACCACAACAAAGUCCAAGUGUGUUUGAUGUGUUGUGUCUAUACUCUCGGGGAUGUCCCCUUGCCCCUUGCUAAUUCGGGAGCGCACACAGAUUUUUCAUUGCUGUCCAACUUCGAUUGCCUUCACCUUUUCAAACUCGAUCACCUCCACCGUAUUCAAAAUCAAUUGCCUCGGUUGUUCUUACAAUAUUCAAAGUCAUCAAUUGUCAUCAACAGUUCAAUCUUGAUUGCCUCUUUCAACCUACUCACUUAUGUCAUCAAUCAUCACCCACCAUCAUCAAUUUGUUCAUCUCCACCAUCAUCAAUCGUUCGUGUUGCUAGUUACAACUCACUAUUGUGACAAUCUGGUAUUACUUUUCAUUUGUUUACUUCUAUGGUUGUUGAUGUUGCUAGACAAUCUCAUGUUUCUUUGACAUGCAUGUCUUAUGGUUGAGGGGAAAAACAAUAGUAUAUAUGUUAGGGAUGAAAUGGAGCUAAUUGGAGAAUUGAAUGAUAUUUUGAUAGGAUAUUAUGUUAGAUAACAUGUUGUUCUACUACUCUUAUGAAUGAAAAACACUUUAUAAUAGAAAAA